rnacentral:misc_RNA from 1 species
UACGGAGGGUGCAAGCGUUAAUCGGAAUUACUGGGCGUAAAGCGCACGUAGGCGGCGGAUUAAGUCAGAUGUGAAAGCCCUGGGCUCAACCUAGGAAAGCCAUCUGAUACUGGUCAGCUAGAGUACAGUAGAGGGUAAUGGAAUUUCCGGUGUAGCGGUGAAAUGCGUAGAUAUCGGAAGGAACAUCAGUGGCGAAGGCGAUUGCCUGGACUGAUACUGACGCUGAGGUGCGAAAGCGUGGGGAGCAAACAGG